UGCUCGUUUGAUUCUCUUUUCCCUGU
rnacentral:piRNA from 1 species